rnacentral:ncRNA from 1 species
CAUGCAAGUAUCUGCCAACCAGUGAAAAUGCCCUCAUACUCGUCCACUAUAAACGAUCCCAAAGGAGCCGAUAUCAAGCACACCAAUGGUAGCUCAAGACAUCUUGCUCAGCCACACCCCCACGGGAUACAGCAGUAGCAAAAAUUAAGCAAUAAACGAAAGUUUGACUAAGUUAUACUGAUUAGGGUUGGUCAAUCUCGUGCCAGCCACCGCGGUCAUACGAUUGACCCAAAUUAAUAAUUAAACGGCGUAAAGUGUGGUUAAACAUUCACCAAUAUAAUAAAGUUAAACUAGCUCUCAGCUGUAAAAAGCUAAAGAUCUAUGGUAAAUAGACUAUUAAUGUAACUUUACUUGUAGUGAACCCACGAUAGCUAAGAUACAAACUGGGAUUAGAUACCCCACUAUGCUUAGCCGUAAACUUUGAUAAUUAUUAACAAAAAUAUCCGCCAGAGAACUACAAGCCACUGCUUAAAACUCAAAGGACUUGGCGGUGCUUUAUACCCCCUAGAGGAGCCUGUUGCGUAAUCGAUAAACCCCGAUAAACCCCACCAUCACUUGCUAAAUCAGUCUAUAUACCGCCAUCUUCAGCAAACCCUUAUAAGGAAUAAUAGUAAGCUCAAACGCACCCGCAAAAACGUUAGGUCAAGGUGUAACCUAUGUGAUGGAAAACAAUGGGCUACAUUUUCUGCAUAAGAACACACGGACUCACAUAUGAAAUUAUCAGAUAAAGGAGGAUUUAGAAGUAAGCCAGGAAUAGAGAGCCUGGCUGAAUUUGGCUAUGAAGCACGCACACACCGCCCGUCACCCUCCUCAAGUGUUUAAGACUAAUAACCCUAUUACACUAAUACAAACAUAAGAGGAGACAAGUCGUAACAAGGUAAGCAUACUGGAAAGUGUGCUUGGAAUAUUCAAAGUGUAGCUUAACUAAAGCACCUGGCCUACACCCAGGAGAUUUCAUUAUUAUGACCGCUUUGAACUAGACCUAGCCCACUCCCCACCAAACUAAACUACAUUCUAACCCUUAAAUAAAACAUUCACUUAAUAUAGUAUAGGAGAUAGAAAUAUUACUCAGGAGCAAUAGAGAUAGUACCGUAAGGGAAAGAUGAAAGACUUCUAAAAGUAAAAAACAGCAGAGAUAACCCCUCCUACCUUUUGCAUAAUGGAUUAGCUAGAAAACAGUUGACAAAAAGAUCUUAUAAGCCAACACCCCCGAAACCAGACGAGCUACUCAUGAACAAUUGUCAGAAUGCACUCUUCUAUGUGGCAAAAUAGUGAGAUGAUUUAUGAGUAGAGGUGAAAAGCCAACCGAGCCUGGAGAUAGCUGGUUGUCCAAAAAAAGAAUCUAAGUUCAUCCUAAAGCACUACCUGUAAAACUAUAAAUUGUAAUGUAAGCUUUAGAGAAAUUCAAUAGGGGGACAGCUCUAUUGAAAAGGAUACAACCUAUAAAGGAGAGUAAGAAGUAUAAGUUUACAUAGUUGGCCUAAAAGCAGCCAUCAAUUAAGAAAGCGUUAAAGCUCAAAUUAUCUUACUACUAUUAAUCCCAAUAAUAAUUACCAAUCUCCCUUACCUAAUAUUGGACUAUUCUAUUAUAAAAUAGAAGAAAUAAUGCUAGUAUGAGUAACAAGAAUUAUUUCUCCGCGCGCAAGCUUAUAUCAGAACGGAUGCCCACUGAUAGUUAACGAUCUAACAGUUAUAAUCCACACAUAAACCCCCUAUUUAGCCUAAUCGUUAACCCGACACAGGAGCGCGGCACGGAAAGAUUAAAAGAAAGAGAAGGAACUCGGCAAACACUAACUCCGCCUGUUUACCAAAAACAUCACCUCUAGCAUUACUAGUAUUAGAGGCACUGCCUGCCCAGUGACAUUAGUUAAACGGCCGCGGUACUCUGACCGUGCAAAGGUAGCAUAAUCAUUUGUUCUUUAAUUAAGGACUUGUAUGAAUGGCAAGACGAGAGUUCAACUGUCUCCUCAUUCCAAUCAGUGAAAUUGACCUCUCCGUGAAGAGGCGGAGAUAGAGUUAUAAGACGAGAAGACCCUAUGGAGCUUUAAU